AGUGAACGCUGGCGGUAGGCCUAACACAUGCAAGUCGAACGGCAGCACAGUAAGAGCUUGCUCUUACGGGUGGCGAGUGGCGGACGGGUGAGGAAUACAUCGGAAUCUACUUUUUCGUGGGGGAUAACGUAGGGAAACUUACGCUAAUACCGCAUACGACCUACGGGUGAAAGCAGGGGAUCUUCGGACCUUGCGCGAUUGAAUGAGCCGAUGUCGGAUUAGCUAGUUGGCGGGGUAAAGGCCCACCAAGGCGACGAUCCGUAGCUGGUCUGAGAGGAUGAUCGGCCACACUGGAACUGAGACACGGUCCAGACUCCUACGGGAGGCAGCAGUGGGGAAUAUUGGACAAUGGGCGCAAGCCUGAUCCAGCCAUGCCGCGUGGGUGAAGAAGGCCUUCGGGUUGUAAAGCCCUUUUGUUGGGAAAGAAAAGCUGCAUGUUAAUCCCCCGCUGUUCUGACGGUACCCAAAGAGUAAGCACCGGCUAACUUCGUG
rnacentral:rRNA from 1 species